rnacentral:rRNA from 1 species
UACAGAGGGUGCAAGCGUUGUUCGGUAUUAUUGGGCGUAAAGCGCGUGUAGGCGGCUUUGCAAGUCGGGUGUGAAAUCCCUCAGCUUAACUGAGGAAGUGCGCCCGAAACUGCAGAGCUUGAGUACCGGAGAGGGUGGCGGAAUUCCCCAAGUAGAGGUGAAAUUCGUAGAUAUGGGGAGGAACACCGGUGGCGAAGGCGGCCACCUGGACGGAUACUGACGCUCAUGUGCGAAAGCGUGGGGAGCAAACAGG